ensembl:lncRNA
CAAGGCCCGGCUCCACAGCAAGAGAAGCCACUGCGGUGAGAGGCCUGCGGAUCGGAACAAAGACUGGCUACCACCCUUAGCAACCGGAGAGAGCGGGCACAGAAGCAGAGAGCAGCACAGCCAUAAAUAAGGUUUAAAAAAGAUCUUAAAAAAAGUCAGGCGUUAUAAGACCCUGUCAGUUAACCUUACGGUAUCCAGCAAGUCCAGUUGACCGGAACACAUGUCCUCUAAGCCUCCUGCUUAAUGUGGUCUGCCGAUGGGGUGCAGAGUCCAACCCAGCCUCGCACCUGGGUUUGGCAAGCACUUGGCCCUAGCAGCGUGUGGGUGCUAAGUCCCAGUCACGUGUUUCCGUGACUGGAGCCACAGACUUGGACCCCGCCACAGUGGAGCCGGCAUGACUCCCUUCUGGUGGCCGGGCCCGGGCCGCGGGGCUGGGUGCCACCUGUUUAUGGGGCAGCGACCAGUGUCAGCAGCGCUGCGGGUUCAAAUGCCCACAGGCCAGGCUGGGCUGAACAGAGCCCCGGGUCAGCACGGCAGCGGGCUCAAAGCCUCCGGGGGAGGGCUGAUGCCAGUGUGUGCUUCCCUGCGGUGGGCUCCUGGGAGCCCCGGGCUAAGAAGGUUCAGCAGAGGAGCUGUGUGCUGUCCCUCCCAAAAUAUCCGGAGGCAGUGCCAUGGUGGAGAGGAAAGAACACGGGGUGAGACCCACUGGACUUCGCACUGUGUGCCCUCGGCCAAGCCACUGCACCUUUGCGACCUCUCGGUCUCCUUACCUGUAAAGCUGAAAUAACCCUAGAAGCUGUAGCCUACAAUUCCCCUUCACAGAAGAGUUCAAAGGGGACGGAGGAUGGAACGAGAAAAUGGGAGGUUAACCGCUGGCAGUGUGGAAGGCCGCCAGCAUGGGCUGACCACGACGUGUGUGCACUGGGACCCCCAAGGAAGACCUGGUACAGGUGGGCCUGGACAGGUCCACUGGGGAGACGGGCAAGAAGGGGGGAGCGCAGACCCUGGAGCUCAGAGCAGGGUCUGAGCGCAGACCUCAACGCUGUGAGCAACAUUCUGGAAGUGAGGGCUCUGUGGGGACAGGCAGGACCAGAAGUGGGCUGGGAAGGCCAUGAGCCUGUCAGCACCUGGGUUCAGUCGCUCAGUCAUGUCCAGCUCUUUGCGACCCCAUGGACUGCAGCACGUCAGGCUCCCCUGUCUCCCAGAGCUUGCUCAAAUUCCUGUCCAUUGAGUCAGUGAUGCCAUCCAACCAUCUCAAUCUCUGCCACACCCUUCUCCUUUUGCCUUCAAUCCUUCCCAGCAUCAGAGUCUUUUCCAGUGAGUCGGCUAUUCACACCAGGUGGCCAAAGCACUGGAGCUUCAGCUUCAGCAUCAGACCUUCCAAUGAAUAUUUAGGGUUGAUUUCCUUUGGGAUUGACUGGUUUGUUCUCCUUGCAGUCCAAGGGACUCUCAAGAGUCUUCUCCAACACCACAGUUCAAAAGCAUCAACCCAUAAUAGCCAGGACAUGGAAGCAACCUAGAUGUCCAUCAGCAGAUGAAUGGAUAAGAAAGCUGUGGUACAUAUACACAAUGGGGUAUUACUCAGCCAUUAAAAAGAAUACAUUUGAAUCAGUUCUAAUGAGGUGGAUGAAACUGGAGCCUAUUAUACAGAGUGAAGUAAGCCAGAAGGAAAAACAUCAAUACAAUAUACUAACGCAUAUAUAUGGAAUUUAGAAAGAUGGUAACAAUAACCCGGUGUACGAGACAGCAAAAGAGACACUGAUGUAUAGAACAGUCUUAUGGACUCUGUGGGAGAGGGAGAGGGUGGGAAGAUUUGGGAGAAUGACAUUGAAACAUGUAAAAUAUCAUGUAAGAAACGAGCUGCCAGUCCAGGUUCGAUGCACGGUACUGGAUGCUUGGGGCUAGUGCACUGGGACCACCCAGAGGGAUGGUAUGGGGAGGGAGGAGGGAGGAGGGUUCAGGAUGGGGAAUACAUGUAUACCUGUGG